rnacentral:lncRNA from 1 species
UUGGACGCCCCCCCCUCUCCCAUCUUCUUCCUCCUCAAACAUUUGCAGCCCUCACCACCCAAAACCCUAGCUGCCCCCCCCCAUUUCUUCCCCUCCUCCCAAGGUGCAGCCCUCCCGUGUGGUUCUCCGUCGUGUGGCUGCGAUCUCAAUUGGAGUUUGGAGGGAGGAAGAAGGAAGGAGUAAGGGAAGAACCUAAGGUGAAUUUGUGAUUAACUUUUGUUGUUUUUGUGCUGCAAUCAAUUGGAUUAUGUGUUUAUCUUUGCGAAUCGGUAGAGGUGCUGUCCAGGAAUUUUGUGAGUGGGUGAACAGCAGUAGUUCUAGGGAUUUCUGGGAAUUUUCGUGGGGUAAUUAGUGGGAAUCAGUGGGAUAAUCAUGUAGAGCUUUGUCAUACCUUUCCAACGAGUACUUAUGCGCUCGAUUCGGAGUUAUAAUUUAGGAGAUAUCGUCGUUUGAAUCCGGGUAUGUUGCUGUCCAAAAAAACAGAUUUUUCAGGUGGGUGAACAGCAGUAGUAUUAGCAGUUUCUGGGAAUUUUCGUGGGGUAAUUAGUGGGAAUCAGUGGGAUAAUCAUGUAGAGCUUUGUCAUACCUUUCCAACGAGUACUUAUGCGCUCGAUUCGGAGUUAUAAUUUAGGAGAUAUCGUCGUUUGAAUCCGGGUAUGUUGCUGUCCAAAAAAACAGAUUUUUCAGGUGGGUGAACAGCAGUAGUAUUAGCAGUUUCUGGGAAUUUUUCGUGGUUAAUUAGUGCUAACCAGUAUGAUAAUCAUGUAUGGCUUUGUCUUAUCUUUCCAAUGAGUACUUAUGCGCUUGAAUUGGAAUUAUAUUUUAAAAGAUAUCGCUGUUUGAAUCCGGGUAUGUCGCUGUCCAAAAGAGAAAAAAAACAGAUUACAGGGUUCAACUUGUGAACUGUUUUGGGCUAAUUAGAUGUUGGAAUUUAAUUAUAAAUUGUAUACAAAACUUGUGGGGAAUUUUAUGUAGAUGCCUCUGGAGUUUUUGUUUGUUACCAAUGCUGUCAUAAUUUUGAAGUUAUGAAAUUAUUAAGCAGCGCCGCUACAGUUUGGUGGGUGUGGGGAGAGAUGUAACCCGUGGCGGGGUUUGAGUUUGUGCGUAGGUGCGGCGUCGUUUAUGAGCCUGGUUAUGUGAAAUUGGUGCACUAAGUUGUGUGUCAAAAACAGGUGGUGGACUUCCGGAUCGUACUUAGGGAUUUGCCCGAACUUCCGGUAAAGGCAAGUAAAUAUAGUGGUGGUUGCUACCGUUUGGUUUGCAUCCUAUUCCCUGUCAUUGAGUAUGCAUAAGUUUUUAAUUAUGUUAAUCAUUGAAUUCUAUGAUGAAGUUUAUUUGUUUGGAAGUAUUAAUUCUCAAUUGUCUAAUAUUGUGGAUGAUCAUAAUUUGGUUAUGAUAUAUGUGGUUGAUUCCCAUCUUGGAUGAAGUUGAAGUGUCUUUUUGAAUCACGUUAUAUGAAGUGUUGUAGGCAUGACAUGCACAUCGCAUCAUCCAUCUUGCAUUUUGAAGUUAUGUCGUGAUCUUAUGGUCCGACCGUACCGGUACAUUUUUAGCAUCGUAUGUUGCCCGAGGAGGGGUACGAUGCGGCUUCAUAUCCUUAGAGGUAUGAAGGCAGAAGUCAUCCUUGCAUUUGCAGACAUUUGCAUUCAUGAGGAAUAUAUGAAGUGUGACAUUACUAUGUUACUAUUGUGGUUUCUACCUGCGAGGUGUGGUAACUAGGUGUGUUGUACGUUGUAUACGUGCUGCAUCUUGGUAAUAAGAAGGUUGUGGAAUCAGGUGGUGGUAAAACAAUGUUCUUAUGUGGUUGAAUAGUUUGAUAAUAUUUUACUUGCUGAGAUAUGUCAUCUCACUCUUGCAUUACUCAAUGCAGGUACUUGAUACAUGUUGGGAAUGAGGGGAGUAGCAGCACGUCCACUUACACUCUCACAAUAACGCUGCCCAGGCGCAGCCAUGAUUUAAUUAGAAACUUAUUGUCAAAGGAAGUUUGUUUUUUAUAUAGUCGUGCACACUGAUUAAUUCAGUUCAGGUCGUACGUUUAUCUUCCCUUGCUAGCCGAUUAAUAAUACUUAGUAUGUUUUUGGACAUGAUAUAUGUUUAUAACCUGUUGCCCCCUUAUUUAUGCAAUCUUGCAAAGGGGAUGCUGCCGAAAUUUUAUAUAUGGACGUCAGAAGUGUAGUUCAGUAGCAUUCUGGGUUGUUUGUGGAACCUGGGGUGUUACAGUUGGUAUCAGAGGAUAGGCUUUAGAUUCUACGCAAUUUGAAGAUAAAUUUGACACACUUGCACAUAUAGGAAGGGUAUGGGUUCAUAUAUCUUCCAUAUUAGUAUUUUAUUGUAUAGAUGACUAGAAUUUCCUUACUCCAAACCCCUUUAUGGUUUGAUGAGGUAUGUCGUUAACGACGUAAUGCUUGAUAUGAAAUGUUACUUCUAUUUAAUAUUGAUUUCUUGAUGUGGUUGUUAUUGAAAUUAUUAUGCGAGUGAAGCUACUAAUGUACUUGUUUUAUAUACAUAUCGUCAUGAUGUUUUUUGGGAUGCAAUGUUUACUAAUCUCUGAGCUAUUACCAUCAUAUAUUUCUAUAUGCUUGACUGUGGAUGUUUUUUUUCCAAAAGGAUUCUUGGGUUCUAGUACUUGUAGGACCGAUUGUUUAUUGAGCUUGUGUAUAGAGGAUCUAAUCCGACUUGGUGUAGCGUGAAAACACUAUACAAUGGAGUUUUAUGGUGUUGUUGAGUUUGAUUGACUGUUGGGUUACAACCCAACUUAUCAAUGUAAUAUUUCCAUGGGUGCAGUGCUUUACACCUCACCUUUUUUUGGCUAGUGUGGCUACUUGCCAACUUGAUCUUAGAGUACAAUAGGUUUGUCUCCAUAGAGCAAAGGCAAUGUUGUACUGUCUAUGAAAUCUUGAGACUAGAAGAACUCAAGUGAAUUUUGCAAGAUGACGUGGGUAGAUAAGUCCAACCAUGUUUACAUGAUAGGUUUUCUUAUUGUGUGCAACCUUAUCUUUAAUAAUAAAUAGGGUGAUUUCAAGUGGAUUUUAUGUCUAUAUUAUAGUUGAAGAGGCAUGCAUAUUUUCCUUCUAUGGUUUGUUUCUAUAGCCAAAAAGGUUAUGCAUAAUUUUUGUUUGUUGGAGGCUAGUCAUGCGGACGAUAUGGACAACCCGUUUUAUAUUGUUUUAAUCGCCGAUGAUACAUGGUAGUUUUUUUUAUAUGAUCAGUUCUCUAUGCAUGCUUGUGGAAUUAUUAUUUGGACCGCUUUAUCUUAAACAAAGUCAAUGUUUAACUGGAAGUUGCUUAUGUUUGUUAGUCAUCUAUCUCUAUAAUGAUGUGGUUGUUGCAUUAGAUGGAGAUUUUUAUUAUAUGAAUGAUGGUUUGAUAGAUCAUGUAUGUCUACUACUUUGAAUUCAUCCUAUGACAUCACUAGGUACAAAUUGUUCAAGUGCAAUAAUAGGAGGUAUUGUUGUAUGUGAGGUUAAUCAAAGUAGUUGGGUUAGGUGGAUUAUCUUAUUGAAGUCCAAUUACUCCUGUUGAGCAUAGUAUCGUGUUAUUAUUAAGUGUUGAAAGUAAUAUUUAUGAAGCUUUUGCAUGAGUCUGUGUCAAGAAGUACAUUAGUUUUUUUUCUUGUUGUUAUCCCUCCAUUGCUUUAUGAGUAUUGCAAAUUUUAUCUCUUUUGAGAGGGGGAAAAGAUGUUAUAUGACAUGAGCACCAUUUGCUUCACGUCAACAGAAUAGUUUUGGAGAUUUCUAGUAGUUGGAUUCUAGUGUAAUAACAACCAUGUUUUAUAGAGCUAGAGACGGGUAUGUCAGGUGUUUCAUACAUUGUCGGUACAUGUAUGUUUGGCCUUAGUGGCAUUAACAAACGAGGUUGUUGAAUUCAUUGAUUGUUGUGCUUAGUGUUCUAACCUAUUUGGUAGAGUGUUAUUUAAAGACUUUGUGGAGUUGCAUCCCAGUUUGGUAGUGGAAAAUCCUAGUGUUGAUGGCACCUGCCAAUGACUUGGGUUUCAUUUUAUAUUGUUUUUUUUAUUAUUGUUGAUAAUGUGUUGUUUGGUUUUGGGAGGCAUUUUAAAUUAGUUGGAGGCUGAAUCAGGCUUCACUUAUCUAGAAUGUUUUGUAGUAUGUUUCUGCAUCUUUCCAUAGGAUGCUUAAUCACCAUGUUUGGUCUAAACAUUUGAGAGAUAUGGGUUUCUUAAAACAUCUUUGUUGGUGUCUCUAGCAGAGUGAGUCUUUAAUUUUGUACGGAAGAGUAGACAUUGAAGACGGUAUAAUUUGGUCUUUGUGGAUUAUGAAAGUUUUAGUAAUUUCAUGAUCUUUUCAAAGAGUAUGGGUUUCUAAUUCUCAUUGCAUAUAAUUGGAGUUAGGUUGCUCUGAAGUUGUUGCACUGUUGUGUCUGAACUUUAGGCGUCGUUUUAGUCACCAAUAAAUCGACCGCGUUUUGAUAGUUGCAGAGCACAAAUUUGCGAAUUCUCUUUAAGCAAAACUUGUAGGUAUUUUCAGUACCUUUUUAAUGGGUAUUUACUUGUAACUGUCUGUUAAAUAGAUUUGGAGAGGUGGUUGCCCGGAUAUAAGUCGAAUCUCUAAUGUGCAGUAUCUCAGGCUGAGUUUAGCUGUAGGUCAUGCAGAGUUGUGGGCUAUAAGGAUAAAUUUGGGUGCAACUUUAUUGCAAAAGUCGUGGACAAUUUUCAAAACUUUUCCAACGCGUGUUCGUUGUAGUUUAAGUUGAGUAUAGCAGGAGUUAUAGGUUUUUGAAUUUUAGUUGUCCAUUGUUUCAAUCUUAUCAGUUUUGAAACAAAAGAGUUGCAUUGUUUUAUCGGUUUGGAAACCAAUUCCGAGACACUCAUUAUAAUAAAAGUUCUAGGGAAUGUUAUAAUCUUUUCAGUGAGUUUAUAUUUGCAAAAUUUUGUUAGCUGCAGGGAGUUAUGAUAUCAUGUAUAGAAUGUGCUUGGAUGAAUGUGUGGGCAGACAUAACAUGCUUAAAUUGAUUCUUGUUUGCAUGAUGUGAGAUUAGGCUUAAAUGAUUUAAAAGGUUAUCAUAUUGCUUCUAUACUUAUAUUUGUUCUAGGUGUCUCGUAAUGAAGAACCUAAAGUAAUUAGCCUUUCAAUGAACGCUUAAUCUUAGAAGAGUGAUGAAUCUGAUAAAAUCUAUUGCUUGCUAUUGGGACUGCAUGACCAGUUUUAGUUAUGCAGCUAGUUCAGUGAAGUAAACCAACUUUUCUGUAGAGAUGUUAUAUAUAAAAGUUGUAGCCAACUUCUUUAUCUUACUUGUGUAAAAAUUUCAUGACCAUAGGUCUAGUAGUUUGGGAGUUAUGAUUUUCUCAAGUCUAGUCUUGGAAUCUAUUCAGAUUCUGUACAGAUUUUGAAACUGACCUUGUUUGCCCAAGUUAAACUUUGAAUCAGUUCUUAUAAAUUAUAAAGAAGUGGAGUACUUUCCUUAAGAUUUCCAACAAAUAUUGGAUCACCCUUUUUGGUGACCUAUAAGUUAAGCUACAACUGUUUUAAGUGGAAUCUUUGAAUCUGUCCAAAUGUGGACAGCAAAGCCUUUCUUAUGUCUUUUGACCUUGAUAUGCAUUGAAUUAACCUGAUAUGUUUAUAAAUGAAAUAUAGACAAUUUUACUGGCUUUCAAAAAAGUCUAGGAGCGCCUAAAUUGGAUGACUGAGACUCCAAUUAUGGAUUUUUUUUAAGUGAGUAGUUGAAUUCUGUCCAAGUCUGGACAAAAUUUACGUUUCGCAUUGUUUGUCCUUUCUAAGUGUCAAAUCUUGUGGUGAUGAUAGUACCAAGGGUAUAGUGGACUUUGUAAGCUUUCCAUAAAGUCCUAGGUUACUACUGUUGGAUGCAUAUUUUGUGAGUUUAUGAGCAAAACAAUUAACCGUUGUGCUGUUGUCUAGAAAUAUGCAAGCAUUAAAUUGAUCUUUUGGAGUUACUCUUGUUUGGAUAGGUUUGGUUUAGGCUAUUGGAGCACAGUAUGUAUUGCUUUCAUUAUAUAUAUUCAUUGAAGUACUUGCAUGUGUCAAUGUUGAUUUGGUGUCAGGAAAACUUUGUCCGGGUUAUAUAGGACUGUCUAUUAUCUUAGCCCGAGUUGGCAGCUUGGCUUAGCACAUGCAAUUGUCGGAGUCUAUGAUCAGAGUACGCCAUGUAUUCCAUGUCUCUAUGUUGAGAAAGUAUUUGCGGAAUCCAUAUCAAUAAUCGAGCUAGAGUCGAUUCCCAUGUAGCAAGACCUGACUCUAGAGUGUCGUCUGCUGCGUAUCCUAGAAUCCUUGAAGCUCGAGGAGCUGAUGCGGCAGAAGUACCCCGAACUUUUCGUUAUGGGGUGAGUUUUUGUUGUCGCUGAUCUUUCCUUGUCGUUCCGAUAGGAGCGUCGGAAUUCGAGGUCGAAUUCUUUUUAAGGGGGGUAGAGUGUGAUACCCGGUUUGCAAAGAAGAGAAGUUGAAGGUUAUUCUUUUUGUUUGUUUUUUCUCUUAUUCGGGUGUCGCGCUUUGGGGAUUUAGAAUUUGUGGAAAACAUUCACCAGUAUAGCAGUAGAGUGGUUGGUCGGGAGCUGUCGUGCAAGCGAGUUGGGCCGCGAAUCGCAAUUCGGCCCACUAACCCUCCCCUAACCCUAGCCGCCCCCCCCCCUUUUUCCCCCUUGUGUUGUUGCAGCCGCCGCUUCCCCUCCCCUUUCUCUUGGACGCCCCCCCCCCUCUCCCAUCUUCUUCCUCCUCAAACAUUUGCAGCCCUCACCACCCAAAACCCUAGCUGCCCCCCCAUUUCUUCCCCUCCUCCCAAGGUGCAGCCCUCCCGUGUGGUUCUCCGUCGUGUGGCUGCGAUCUCAAUUGGAGUUUGGAGGGAGGAAGAAGGAAGGAGUAAGGGAAGAACCUAAGGUGAAUUUGUGAUUAACUUUUGUUGUUUUUGUGCUGCAAUCAAUUGGAUUAUGUGUUUAUCUUUGCGAAUCGGUA